UGUUCCCAUACCGAACACAGAAGUUAAGCUCUUUAGCGGCGAUGGUACUUGGUGGGCGACCGCCUGGGAGAGUAGCACGUAGCCACGU
rnacentral:rRNA from 2 species